UGUGCAUUUUACCAAUCUCCCGAUGUUAAUUAAUUUGUAUUUAUGAAGAGGUGUUGUUCAGUCAUGGGUGGAUUAAUGGAUGGGUGAUGUCUGCUCUACAGCUGGGGACCCACUGUAACUCCAUUCUCCCUAUGUGGCAGGAAUCUGAAUAACACAUAUGAGCAACCUGAUGUUCAGAACCAGGACCCACCCCACUCAGACCCACCCACAGAUGCACAGCACAGUGACCACUUAGAUGAAACCGUUCAACAAAUGACAACAGAACAAAGCAAGGAGUUACCAGUGGCCCAACACACAGAUGCUAGUGGUGCAGAAGGGCCAGACUCUGGGAAUGGUCAGAAUGCCGCGCCCGUGCUUGUCAGAUGGAAGUCCAGAUUUUGUACCGUUAUGUGAUUGUAUCCAACUGGCACGGACAGUCUUGUGGAUUUUAUUUUUAUUGUGGGAAGUAUUUAUUAUUAAUUUGCAUAUUUAUUCAUUCAAUAAUUUAUUUAUUUAUUUAUGUUUGUUUGUUUAGCUGAAUUAUGUAUUAAUGUAUGCAUUUGGGCCCCUGCAAAAUGUUAGUGUUAGACAGACAUGUUAAAUCAGGUUUCUCCCACAUGGCUUCCAUAAAACACCAGCAUGAACAUCUGGGAUCAUCCAGAUGCUUUAUCAGCAAACACUUUAUCUAUAAAUCACAUUCAGUGCCCAGAGCUAGUUCCUUUGUGGUUGACAUUUUCAAGACAAGUGUACUGCACAUGGUGACACAAAGGUCUAGAUUUCAAUCUGGCAAAUGUGUGACUAAAAGGUUUGCCAAAUUGGUUGCAGAUGACAGAAAGAUCAUGAAUUAUUAUGUCAUGCAUCGUUUCAGUAAUGGGCCGAUUGAACCCAAAAUAAUGCUGACUUCAGCCAGCGCAUUUGUGGUCAGACUUCAAAAAAGAUACUGCCAUUCUUGAAUUGGUUACAUUUAAGAGGUGUCAGUAGCAUUUGCACAUAUAAAUCUAGCCAAGUUUAUAGUCACAAUGCUAUGAAAAUACUUUUAUAUUUUGUGGUACAAAAUGUGUCACCUGUGUGUCAUCUGUGAGGUUUUGUCAGCCAUUAGUAUGGCCAUUGAACAGCUUAGCCUACUUGUUUGUCAUAAUUGUUUGUCAAUUUGUGGAGCACUUCCUUUAGUUUUUGUUUGUUGCUUGAUGAUGUACACCACAAUUUUGUUAUUGGCUUCAAAAGAGAAAACGCAUUAACGUGUAAGAGUCCUCCAUCACGCAUUGCUGUCAGUGUUUGACUAUAAAGGGUCUCCACGCGCAGUCAAUCAAGUGGAUUGUAUGAUGGAUUUUGAGAUGAGCGUUCGGACGCUCAGGAGAGCUUCAGCACUUGUGUGAGGACAGCUCCGCUGUGUACUUCACAGCGCUCUCUCGUCGUCUCGCCUAUGCGCUACAGCUGCGGCUGCUCGUGAAACCGCCUUGCACUUACUGCACAGACACUCGCCUACUAAGCAGAAGAGCUGCAGGCUGCGUGGAGAACCGAGAACUGCGGAGAGUUACAGAUACUGGACGAAACAACAAAAAGGGUUAAACAUGUUCGAGUUGAAUAUCUGGGACCACGGACGGAAAUUCUCAACGACCAGGAACUUGCUUGACAGAACCUAGAACGUCACGGCACACGAAAAGACUCCUCACAUUGCGGUGAAUAAUGUCACCUGAUCCCAUGUGGAAAUAGUUGAAUUUUAUUAAGGAUUUUUUUUAUUAUGCAAAAUGCAUGUUGUUUCGGGAAAUGACUCAUGGUUCCAUGAAUGAUUUACAUGAAAAGACUACAACAGAACACAAGAUAUAAAGCAUCUGAAGGGUUGAGAGUGAAGAGAGAGGACACUCCAGAUGUCUGGCAGCGCCUCCUCCCCCCCGACCCUGAUUCCCAGGGAGGGGUCAAUGCACUAC